rnacentral:rRNA from 1 species
AUACGGAGGGUGCAAGCGUUAUCCGGAAUCACUGGGUUUAAAGGGUGCGUAGGCGGCGCUAUAAGUCAGAUGUGAAAUCCCACCGCUUAACGGUGGAACUGCAUUUGAUACUGUAGUGCUUGAAUCAGGCUGAGGUCAGCGGAAUGUGUCAUGUAGCGGUGAAAUGCAUAGAUAUGACAUAGAACACCAAUUGCGAAGGCAGCUGACUAGACCUGUAUUGACGCUGAGGCACGAAAGCGUGGGGAGCAAACAGGAUUAGAUACCCCAGUAGUCC